AUGUACGAUCCAAACGGGAAAAUGAAAUCAAUGAUUACAAUAAAAAAAUUAAGUUGCGCUUUAAGCCAACAUCAAAAUAGUUUGCCAACCCUGCAUAAGCCCUAUAAAUUUCAGAAAAUAAUUGGACCAAAAAAUAGUGUAGUCGGUAUUAACCUCCUCAACAGAAAACUGAAUUCAAACCGAAUAUAA